CUGAACUGCUUUUGUAAUAAUUUAAUCUCUUAUUCUGGAGUAAAAAAAAAAGAAACAAGCUAAAUCAUCACAUAUCUGUGGCAUCAAGAAGCAUCUUCUGAGUUCAAACACAGGGAUGGAGCACAAUGUUUACACCUGAACAGUAUCAGGAUUAACUCACAGAGGCCUGCAGGUCUUCUGUUUUAUGAGCAGAGCGCUGAUAAUCGGCUUCUUAGGAGCGCUAAACGUAAUUUUGCCGCUUCCAUGCGCGGUAUGGAAACACAUUUCAAACACGGAACCGAGUCUGGUUGCCGAACCGAGCAGAAUUCUGAUGACGUCACACCGGUGCGCGAAGGUGCGGGUUCCAACCCACAGGAGAGGAGGGAGAGAGGAGGUAAACAGCGAGUGGAUCACAGAACUGAUGUUUUUGAGCAAAACUGCGGUAAAAAUGGCUGUUUGUCCUCAUCAUAAAACGUGUAGCCCCCCUCUCCCCGGUUUAGACGUGGCGCUCAUGCAGGUGUCUCUUUCUGUUCCGACGCUGCUACACGUAAUAUUUUUAAUUUAUUAAGCCUACAAUUUAUUUUUACUCAGUAACGGAUAUGAUUUAAAAUGUAGCGAAUUACAAUUCUUUUUUUAAAAACUUACUCAAGUAAAAGUAAAAGUACAGAUUUUAAAAACGACUUAAAAAGUAUAAAUUUACAAAAAAGCUACUCAAUUACAGUAACGUGAGUAAAUGUAAUUCGUUACUUUCCACCUCUGGUUAUUGGAUUUAUAUAUAAAUUAAUAUAACAGAGAAAAGCCUUAAAGUUUCAUCAUUUAAACAUUUGCUGAAUCUUUUCCUGCGUUCUGUGAAAUUUCUAGGUUUUCAUUUGUCUUUUUAAUUUAAUCAGCUAUAUUUGCAACUCCGUAUUUUUCCUUUAUGUGUCCCACCUCAAAGAGCAUCGGUCACUUUCAAUUUCUCACAACAUCCACUAAUAACAAAAAACACCUUCCAAACUCAGAACAUUAAAGCUACUCACACACUCUCAUGUUUGGAACAUUAAUAUUGGCACAAUUUCUCUCUCCAUCCAAUAUCAAAUCUGCCAGCAGCUCACUUUCUCUGGAAAAGCCUUUAAAUCUUCCAACAGAAGCGCAGCUUCAGCCAACCCCACCUCAGACCGACACUAUUUCUUUGUUGUUGUUAUUAACAUGAAUAUCGACGGUUUCUGUCAGUGAGGUGCAUCCAAUCCAGCAUCGCUGCUGGCUGCCCCUCCAUCCAUUCACCCUUCCUCCUGGUUCACACAUCAUCCAUUUCUACCUCUCGGGUGAUACAUCACUGCGGCGGGGCAGAGAAAAGCUCUUAAAGUUGCAUAAACACGACGUGGCUGAAGCUCCCACCAGCUGUGGGUGAUGGAUGGGACCGCACACGGAAGAAAGAGAGAUGGAUUUUUCCAGGGGCUGACGACAGAGUGACCAACAUCACUAAACAGCGGAACAGUUCUGGGUCUGAGCUUUGGUACCGGAUGCAGAUCUGAUCCACAUCCAGUUUCAUCAGGAGGAAAUGUUUUAUUUUAACCGUCACCAGGGUCCUUGUUCUUCCAGCAGCAGUGUUUGAUAUGGCCCAGGGCCAUGUCUCACUGGGGGUGGCGGGAAAACUCAAAGAUUAUUUCUUUAAGUUUUGCAUUUCAAAUGAAUGUUCCACAGAUUUGUACAUAUCAAGUCUGGAGAUUGGACACUCCCACUGCUCAGUUUAGAUCCAUAGAUCUGUGGUUCACGCAGAUUUUGUUGGAGACCAGCUCGUAACAUCAUUUGUAGUGGAUGCUAAUCCUUUUUAUACAACUUUGAAUAGCUGAACUAUGUCCACAAGACUGACAGUUUUGGUCCCUUGUUGUCACCGAUGACAUUGGCUGUGUCUCAAUUCAGGGUCUGCAUCCUACGUCGGCCGGAUUCGUCGGCCGGUUACGUCACAGCGCCGCGACUAGGCCUGUCCCAAUUCGAAGACUCCUUCAAAUGCGAUCGACGAAUGCGGCCUUCUUUUCGCCUGAAUGAAGGAUGGGUCGGGUGUAUCCUUCAAUAGGUAGCAUUUCCCAAGAUGCCUUGCGGGCCGGCCGGCAGAAAAACUUAAAAACAAUGGCGGACAGUGAAGCGGGAGCUGUCGGAGAGGAUUGCGCAUAUAAAUGAACAAAAGAGAAAACCAGGGAAUUUAUUAAGCUUAGGGCGGAGAUGGACCACAUGAUCACCGGAGCAAAGUAUUCGGCGGCUGUGGCAUGGAGACUAUUCUGGAGAAAAUGGGCAUCCAGGGGAAGGUGCCAGCGAUGACCAGCUUCUGGAGCUGAUCAGGGAGGACAUGAGGCUGCAGAGGGAGGCAGAGCAGCAGAGGGCACAGAGAGAAGGAAGAACUUUGACAGCUUUUUACUUUGCUAGAAAAAAAUGGUUAAGGAAGAUUAAACAUGUACAUAUAAAAGAAAUAUCUAAAUAAAAUCAGUUCUGCAUUAAA